rnacentral:rRNA from 1 species
CGACCUCGGGCUGUACGGGAUACCCCCGG